AACGAACGUUAGCGGCGCGCCUAACGCAUGCAAGUCGCACGAGAAAGGGAGCAAUCCCCGGUAAAGUGGCGCACGGGUGAGUAACACGUAGGUAAUCUGCCUCUGAGUGGUGGAUAACGUCUCGAAAGGGACGCUAAUACAGCAUGAGACCACGGCCUCGAAAGAGGCUGAGGUCAAAGCGGGCCUCUAUACAUAAGCUCGCGCUCGGAGAUGAGCCUGCGGCCCAUCAGCUAGUUGGUAGGGUAACGGCCUACCAAGGCGUAGACGGGUAGCUGGUCUGAGAGGAUGAUCAGCCACACUGGAACUGAGACACGGUCCAGACUCCUACGGGAGGCAGCAGUGGGGAAUCUUGCGCAAUGGGCGAAAGCCUGACGCAGCGACGCCGCGUGAGGGAUGACGGCCUCGGUUGUAA
rnacentral:rRNA from 1 species